rnacentral:lncRNA from 1 species
GAGAAGGCGAAGAUUAUGAUUAUGUGGGCAACCUUCCCAAGAGCAGCUAUGUCAACAGUUGCAAGAAUGAUGGUUUCACAAAGAAAGGAAUGUCUUCUUAACCCUGCUGGUGCUACGGUAGGUGAUAUAAAAAGAAGUAUGAAUAAUUUAGUUGAAAAAGCAGCUCCCUCGCCAUCAAAGGACAUCACCCUGGUGACAGAGGAUGUCGCAUGGCCUUGGAUAACGGAUUAGAAUCAAAGACAUCAUAAAAAGGAUACAUUUGGCGAAGACGACCGUGGUGGUUUGGAUGCCUUUCGUUCUUUGUGAAAAGGGACAUAUGGAACUUUCCAAAGAGAAGCGUUUUCUAACGACGCGUCCCAAGCAAUUUCCAUUCUUGAAAAGAAAGAACGCUUGACGGUGGCCAAGCUCCUUGUCGAAUCUAAGCAAAAAGCGAACGUGGGAAUAUCUGGAGAGUGCUGCUAUGGGAACACCAGGUGAUGCCUUGGGAAGUAACUGCAAUUCGUGGUGGUAGAGCACAUGGUUUGGAAGCCAUGGUUCCCAGCUUGACUUCCCAGCAGCUCCAGGACGGGUUAGGGAAGAGCCCAUCUUGAUACCCCAGAGAGAGGCUGGCAAUCUGAGUUGAUGAUAGGGAUGGGAUUUUCUGAUUUCUUGAACUACAGAUCCCAUAAUUCACCAUUCAGGGAGUUCUGUCUCGCUUACACACACCCUAUAGGCUUCUAAAUGUGACUCUCCUGGAAAAAAUAUAUCUGAGUGCUCAUUGAAAGCAUUCAAGAAUGCUCACUGCCUUCUGAAGUAAUGGGUUCUGUCAUUGUACUACUCUAACUGUUAAGACGUUUUCAACUGAAAUCUGGCCUCCUAUAACUUGAGCCUAUUGUUACAUAUCCUGAUCCAACAAAAGGAUAAUAAGCCAUGAAAAAUUUGGUAGUUCCUUUACAGAAACAAUCGUAAAAAAUAAGUGAGGAGAGAAAAUGACACUCAGAUCUAUCUAUA